AUGCGCAGAGGCACGCGGCGGUGUUGUUCCUCGCUCUACGCAGCAAAUCCGCCGAGCUUUGUUAUGGUUAGUCCUCGAGGCAACAGAGCGCAUGCACCAGGACACUCAUAACUAGCAUUCAAAUCUACAAAGCCUCUAGGUGCAUGCGAGCAGUCGAUUCGUGGAGCUUGCUUCGGGAACAGACUAUUCUGACUCCUAGCGGCCCCUGCGCCCCUCGCGCGCGUAAUGAGGAGUCGAAAACAACGCACGCGUAGGUCUGCAGUGACUGCAGCAGUUGCUCGAGCUCUUCCCACUGCAGGAGCUCAGAACUGACAAGAACCCUGACCAAAGCAGCGACUUCAGCAAUCCCGUGUCGUACCGCAGCAGAAAUGGGGCACUGCCGUACGUCAGCGAUCUCUGACUCAAGCACAGGGGCUGCACGAAGGACACACGCUGCAGCCUCCCUGUUUCUGUGGGGUUUGGGAUUGAUGUUUGAGCCAAAAGGCCUCAUGGUGCCAUACAGGCAGGUGCUGGGUUCACCCACUGAGGACGCCAAAUCCUAAAAUAAUGUCACAGCGGUCUUUAAUUGCUGUGGGAGGAGAUGACGUGCAUUUCUCCCUGGGGAGCUGUAAGCUGACCCCACAGUGUGGCAGACAGCACCAAAAAGGGAUGCCAUCCUGUACUUUCCUACCCUAGUAAAUCCUGGUUCUGCUGGUACACCUCUUGUACCUGGAGCUGGCUCUCCAUCUGGCUGAGACGUCAUCUUUAACACUUCAAAACAAGCCUAAGGAGAGAAGAUUUUGGUGAUGUGACAUGAAAACAGACAGCACAAAUAUAGACCAGGAUAACAGAAGAUGUACACGCUGGGUGUUGAAUAUCAUUUGGAAACCAAACCCCAGUUACUUGACAGUCCAGGAAAUUUUUCACAGCUGAGCCAUUGUGUUUUCUUCAGAAGUUAGAAAUAAGAUUGGCAGAUCCAUGUCCGUAUUCACCCACGCAGCAAAGUACUGGAAGAACUGCAUUAUUUCAUCCCACUCUUCAGUGAGUUUCUAUUAUUUACCAUGUAAGAACAACUUCUUUGUAAUGCCUCCCUUGUAGAAAAAUGACAUGUUUAUCUGUUGCGGCUGAAGAUACUAGGUGGGAGCCUGCUCAAUAUCUUUCUUUGUAUUCAAUUUGCAGUGUCAUUAGGGGACAUACAGCACCAUGUCUCUUUAACCUUUCUCAGCCACCAACCACUUUUUUUCUUCAUGAAUUUUCAGUUAUUCUCAAAGUAUUUGGAGCACAUAGUAAUGGGAAUGUCUGAUAGCUUUUUAUCCAACGGUUGUUUAACCCAUAGUGAAAUCACUUGUCUACAUGAAUGUUGUUACUAGAUGAUGUUGCAUAUUAACAGGAGUAAGAGGUAAAAACAUGAGUAAAGUGCAAGAUAUUUCAUGAUAAAAUCAGCAAACACUCCAGGCAUAGCAAUUAUAGCCUGAUUAUUCUAUGGAAACAUGGACAUAUGCAUGAAACAUCUAUAUACAUGAAACAAUUCUAUUAAGCAUGUUAAAAUAACUGAAAGUAAAUUUGUCCCAAGAAAACAUACGUAACUAAGCUUCUGCUUGGCUUUAAGAUGCACACACAUUAUUUCUCUGACUUGGAAAGACAAGCAUGUGUGAUACUUUACUGAGUACUGAGUUAUUUCAGCUUUCUGGGAGCUGUAUACUAAUGCUGUGUGGUCAGAAGUCUUCUGAAAUGAGGAUUUGAUACUCCGACAUCAGUGAACAGCAUAGUGCUACUGAUCUGUAACCUCUCAGCAGCAAAAUGGAGAAAUCCAUGUAAUCGAUUCAGUGUCUGUGAGGAGAAGCAACACCUUUUAAUACACCACCUCAGAGUGCUGGAAGAAAAAAUAGACAAAUUUUAUUUUACCUGCUUCAUCAAAGUACAUACAAUGGCAUUUGUUUGAGAGAAGAAUGAACUCCUUUAUAUUGCAGAUGGAAGGACAGAACCUGCCUGUACAAAUCUGCAUGAAUACAUGGCAGAAUACCUUAGCCAUGAGCAGAUAACUCUUUUCUUAAAAGCGCAACUUUUGACACUCUUGACAGCAAUACCUGAAACGCAGUUUGUGAGUCUUGGAAAAGGAAGGCAGACGGAAAAAAGACACCAUUUAGUCUGGAUUUGAUUAACAUUACUCUGUUGCUUUCAGUUGGUUGCAGAACUUAACUUCUACAAUGACAGGGGGCGUCAUUGACACUUGACAUCAUGUCUCUUUGAAAUUCUAGGCCCCUUUCAGUCAAAUUUGGCAGAGAGGAAAGAGUUUUGAAAAUGUUUUGGUUUUGUUUUUUAUUUAUUUAUUGAAGAGGAUAAUGAUCCAGUUGUAGCAAUAACAUAUUUCUAUUUGAAAAGUGAGUCCUAGUGGUAUUCCCCAAGAUCUAUUUUUGAGCGUUUUUCAGACUUCACAUAUAGGAACUUCCUACCAGGUCAGUGACAGGUGAACACAGCUCCAACAGAUAGCUGAUCUCUGUGAAGGAUAAAAUGCACACAAGGCAUGCGAUUCUGAAGUUCAAAGGAGAUUUCAAAUGGUUGUAUUUCAGUAUGCUUAAAUAAUGUUCUACCUAUUCUGCACUUCCUUAGAAAAAUUUAAAAUCUAUUUUUCAGUAAUUAUCUUUUUUUCAUUUAAGAAGACCUUCCAAUAAUUCAUAAGCUUUACCUUCAUUAUCCCGUGUUCAUUUUUAUAGUUCCUCAUUGCAGAAAACUGAUGUGGCCCAAUUUCACUAGCCAUGACAACACUGAGCAGACACAUCCGUGCUAAUAGACACGGCCACAAAGGGGUGCAGAGUUCAGUUGACAGCUACAUCCUAGCACAAUAAUGGUAAUCAGGAUACUGUAGGAACAAAGUAGUUAUCUCCAAAUUGUACAAGGUAUCAGCACUUUUUCCUAACUUCUAAAGCCUCCUCCUACUUCUGUUUACAUUGCCUGACCUCUGUGAAUUUGACAACUACUGCCACUACCCACACACACACAUACAAAAGGGUAAUCAGAUGACUGUACUAGGCUUGUGAGAUUUCUAAUAAUGUCUCUUACCCAUUCUCCAGGGAAACCAAAGGCUUCCUGAUGUGUUGGAUCUGGUUUACAUAUCAGGCCCUCUUUUUGCCUCGGAAGGUUGUCACCCAGAUCAACAGCCCUUCUUUUUUGUCUUGAUAGAGGAGCUCACAAUAUCGGAGACAGGUUGACUAUCUAAGGUGACCCUCCAGCCUCUUUCUCUUCCUUUGAUAUCUCAGAAAAAAUGUGUAAUUUAUAUUUGCAUUAAAAGACAAUUUUUCAUUUUUUGUAUCAUCAAUAGCACUGGGACUUAGCAUUACCUUUUGGGCUUUUGAUGACCUAGAGUAUAAAGAUAUCUUUCCUUCAAGUAUUUCUGAUGUACAGUCAAAUCAAAUAUUUUCCUUUGAGCUGUUUUAAAAGAGUUUGGCAGCAUUGAAUGGUUUUUGGUACUAAAUCCAGUUCUUUGAUCUUCCUCCAACAUUACCUAAUUCUGUUUAUAGUUGUUGUGUUGAAGUGGAAAGAACUGACUUGUGGAUAAGACAAAGCAGUACUCCCCUAGCAUCUGAUUCACCAACUGCUCUUGCAUACAUGCAGUUUCUCCAAAGGCGAUAAAGGAUUACAUAUUUUCUAUGGAUAUUUUCUAUGAGAAUUCUUUUUUUGCCUUUGAAUAUACAAAAUCUGAACAUCCAUGCUGCUUGUGAUUUCAUGCUCCUUCUGAAAAUUCUUGCUUUUUUCCAGACAAGAAAACGUAUAUUUGUGUGAUCCGUGUUUUCUUAUUUUUAGAUAAAGUGAUGACCGUUAGUCUGCUCAGUAAGACUGACAUUCACUACCUAAUUUUUCCAUAAGAGUGCAAUCCUUAUUCUUGAGAUGUAGUUAAUAUAGCAAGGCUAGAAAUGAUGGAAGCCACACCGAGCUUGGUCUCUACUUUAAAGGUAUCAUUUUAAAUCAUAUGUAUUGAAAGUGAAAAUUUCUGUAAGCUAGUUGAGCUGAUUUUGAUAGCAUAUGUUUAAAGCGUUGAUCUGAAUGAUCUUUUGUAAAAUCUGGUGAUAUUCAGAAGGCAGACACCUUUGAAGUCUAUAGAACAAUAUCACUCAGUUAUACCAGUACACCAUGUGGAUUAAUAUCCACAUUUGCUCAUGUUACUCAUCCUUUUAACUGAAGGUUGGGUUUCAUUAUAUUAUUGAAGUUAAGGGAAAUAAAGUAAAAUUGAUUUUCAAAUGGAUUCUAAGAUUUCAUUUGUGUUUUUAAUCCCUCUUUAGAGGAAGACAUCAUGUCAAGUGAUGCAGUUUUACACAGUAGAUUGAGGCCAUGAUCUUGGCUUUAUAAACAAAUACAGCAACAGUGGUAGUGAGAAUCCAUGAUUUUAUUUUCAUGCAGCUUGAAUGGUCUUUUCGUACUUUUAUUUAAUUAUUAU